rnacentral:rRNA from 1 species
AAGUCUGACGGAGCACGCCGCGUGAGUGAUGAAGGUUUUCGGAUCGUAAAGCUCUGUUGUUAGGGAAGAACAAGUGCAAGAGUAACUGCUUGCACCUUGACGGUACCUAACCAGAAAGCCACGGCUAACUACGUGCCAGCAGCCGCGGUAAUACGUAGGUGGCAAGCGUUGUCCGGAAUUAUUGGGCGUAAAGGGCUCGCAGGCGGUUUCUUAAGUCUGAUGUGAAAGCCCCCGGCUCAACCGGGGAGGGUCAUUGGAAACUGGGAAACUUGAGUGCAGAAGAGGAGAGUGGAAUUCCACGUGUAGCGGUGAAAUGCGUAGAGAUGUGGAGGAACACCAGUGGCGAAGGCGACUCUCUGGUCUGUAACUGACGCUGAGGAGCGAAAGCGUGGGGAGCGAACAGGAUUAGAUACCCUGGUAGUCCACGCCGUAAACGAUGAGUGCUAAGUGUUAGGGGGUUUCCGCCCCUUAGUGCUGCAGCUAACGCAUUAAGCACUCCGCCUGGGGAGUACGGUCGCAAGACUGAAACUCAAAGGAAUUGACGGGGGCCCGCACAAGCGGUGGAGCAUGUGGUUUAAUUCGAAGCAACGCGAAGAACCUUACCAGGUCUUGACAUCCUCUGACAACCCUAGAGAUAGGG